rnacentral:lncRNA from 1 species
CCAAGUUCCCAACCAUUAAAUAUAUGUGAAGUAAUUAUGACCCCUUGGUCCCAAUUCCACACACUCCACAAAUAACUUGACAAAAUACUAGUUUUGUAUGGUAACUUUCACUGUUGUUUUCUUACUCAGACAAUUCUACUACAGGGAUCCCACAGUUUUGUGUUUGUUGAUUUGUUUUAAAAUUUUGACAACCUAUAAGGCCA